rnacentral:rRNA from 1 species
GACGAACGCUGGCGGCGUGCUUAACACAUGCAAGUCGAACGGAAAGGCCCCCUUGUGGGGUACUCGAGUGGCGAACGGGUGAGUAACACGUGAGUAACCUACCCUUGACUUUGGGAUAACUUCAGGAAACUGGGGCUAAUACCGGAUAGGAGCUCCUGCUGCAUGGUGGGGGUUGGAAAGUUUCGGCGGUUGGGGAUGGACUCGCGGCUUAUCAGCUUGUUGGUGGGGUAGUGGCUCACCAAGGCUUUGACGGGUAGCCGGCCUGAGAGGGUGACCGGCCACAUUGGGACUGAGAUACGGCCCAGACUCCUACGGGAGGCAGCAGUGGGGAAUAUUGCACAAUGGGCGGAAGCCUGAUGCAGCAACGCCGCGUGCGGGAUGACGGCCUUCGGGUUGCAAACCGCUUUCGCCUGUGACGAAGCGUGAGUGACGGUAAUGGGUAAAGAAGCACCGGCUAACUACGUG